CUACGGGUCGCAGCAGUGAGGAAUAUUGCAUAAUGGGGGGAACCCUGAUGCAGCAACGCCGCGUGGAGGAUGACGCAUUUCGGUGUGUAAACUCCUUUUAUAUGUCAAGAAAAUGACGGUAGCAUAUGAAUAAGCACCGGCUAACUCCGUGCCAGCAGCCGCGGUAAUACGGAGGGUGCAAGCGUUACUCGGAAUCACUGGGCGUAAAGGACGCGUAGGCGGGUUGGAAAGUCAGGUGUGAAAUCCUACAGCUUAACUGUAGAACUGCACUUGAAACUUCUAAUCUAGAGUAUGGGAGGGGGAGAUGGAAUUAGUGGUGUAGGGGUAAAAUCCGUAGAUAUCACUAGGAAUACCUAAAGCGAAGGCGAUCUCCUGGAACAUUACCGACGCUAAGGCGUGAAAGCGUGGGGAGCAAACAGGAUUAGAUACCCCUGUAGUC
rnacentral:rRNA from 1 species